UACGUAGGGGGCGAGCGUUGUCCGGAAUUAUUGGGCGUAAAGAGCGUGUAGGCUGUUCGGUAAGUCUGCCGUGAAAACCUGAGGCUCAACCUCGGGCGUGCGGUGGAUACUGCCGGGCUAGAGGACGGUAGAGGCGAGUGGAAUUCCCGGUGUAGCGGUGAAAUGCGCAGAUAUCGGGAGGGACACCAGUAGCGAAGGCGGCUCGCUGGGCCGUUCCUGACGCUGAGACGCGAAAGCUAGGGGGAGCGAACAGG
rnacentral:rRNA from 1 species